CAAACCUCAAGCCUUGCUUGGUGAUGGGCCCCGCCUAUGCGGCGGGCCCGAAACUCGUGGGCGCCCCAGGCCGGACUCCAAGCGUAGUAAAACCCUCGCUUGCGGACGACCGGUCAGAGGCCGCCCUAGACCCCUAAAUAAUUUUCAAU
rnacentral:misc_RNA from 1 species